GUAAUAGAAGGCUAGGGUUCCGGCUAUAUAGAAAAAUAUAGUGACUGGUCCGAGAGCAUUCGACCUUGUCAGUUUCAAGGUUACACGGCGGGACAAAAGCCCGGGAGAC
rnacentral:sRNA from 1 species